CGCGCGGCGAAUCAGAGAGCGGGGACCCUCGCAGCCUUGCCAGUGUCCAAUCCCGGGUGAGCGCAGGUAGUUGCCUAGCCAAUCAGGAGGACGGGGGGCUCCAUCGCAGGACAGAGUGCAGAACAGCCAAUCAGAAGGAUUGCAAACUGUGCCGCCACACCCACGACAUUUUCAGGUAGCCCUGGAGUUAGGUUCUGCCAGAGCCCCGAUGCAGACAGGACCGCUGCUGUGUGCAACUGUGAUAGGCCUCCACCCACCAGAGCCCCGCCUCAGAUCGCUCGCUGCUGCAGUGCUUCUAAAGGCAGCUCAUGCCUGAAGCUCCUCUAAACACACUGGAAACAAACAUGGCAGAGUGUUAAUUGCCAACUCAAGACAGGAACUCUCGCUGAACCCAGAUUUGUGAUUCAGCUAACCUGGCUGGCUGGCCUUCAUGGCCCUAAGGAUCUCUGCUCCAGCUGGAAUUACGCUGCCACAUCAGGAUGCUGGGGACAGAAUUCCCACGGCAAGCACUUUAUCUACCCCAUGCCCAGUCCCCCGCCCUUAAAAAACUUUUUCCAGACAGGGUUUCUGUGUAACCCUAGUUGGCCUAGAACUCACUCUGUAGACCAGACUGGACUUAAACCCAUAGAAAUCCUCCUGCCUCUGCUGCCUGAAAGCUGGGAUUAAAGGCGUGCACCACCCAAUAGCUGUAUAUUGGCUGUUUUUCUGUCAACUUGACAGAAACUAGUCAUCAGAGAGGAGGGAGCCUCAACAGAGAAAAUGCCUCCAUAAAAUGGGGCUGUAGGCAAGCCUGGAGGGCAUUUUCUUAGAUGGGGAGGGCCCAGUCCAUUGAUGGUGGGCCAUCCCUGGACUGGUGGUUCUGGGUUCUAUACAAAAGCAGGCCGAGCGAGCCAGUAAGGAACACCCAUCAAUAGCCUCUGCCUCGGCUCCUGCCUCCAGGUUCUGCCCUCACUGCUUUUAAUGAUGAACUAUUAUAAGGAACUGAGAGUGAUGCUGGGUGGUGGUGGCGCAUGCCUUUAAUCCCAACACUCAGAAGGCAGAGGCAGGCAGAUCUCUGAGUUCGAGGCCAGCUUGGUCUAUAGAGUGAGCUCCAGAACAGCUUCCAA